rnacentral:tRNA from 1 species
GGAAGGGUGGCAGAGUGGUCGAAUGCACCGGUCUUGAAAACCGGCGAUGUGCGAGCAUCCGUGGGUUCAAAUCCCACCCCUUCCG